GUGGGGAAUAUUGCACAAUGGGGGAAACCCUGAUGCAGCGACGCCGCGUGAACGAUGAAGUAUUUCGGUAUGUAAAGUUCUAUCAGCAGGGAAGAUAAUGACGGUACCUGACUAAGAAGCACCGGCUAAAUACGUGCCAGCAGCCGCGGUAAUACGUAUGGUGCAAGCGUUAUCCGGAUUUACUGGGUGUAAAGGGUGCGUAGGUGGCAUGGCAAGUCUGAAGUGAAAUGCGGGGGCUCAACCCCUGAACUGCUUUGGAAACUGUCAGGCUAGAGUGCAGGAGAGGAAAGCGGAAUUCCUAGUGUAGCGGUGAAAUGCGUAGAUAUUAGGAGGAACACCAGUGGCGAAGGCGGCUUUCUGGACUGUAACUGACACUGAGGCACGAAAGCGUGGGGAGCAAACAGGAUUAGAAACCCUUGUAGUCC
rnacentral:rRNA from 1 species